UUUUUGUCUUUAAACGUCAAUACGGUAUUCUGCAAAAGCUUAUGAAUGGAAUGUAAUCCUGGAUCCAUUUACUUAAAAUUGAAAACAAAAUCUAGGGCUGGGAAUGUGGCUCAGUGCAAGAGUGCUUUCUCAAAGCUGUGGGUCCUAUUCUCAGUUCUGCAAAACCACCAAAAAACCUGUUGACCAUUGAUCAAACUGACUCCAGCUGUCAUUUAUGCUUCCAGUAGCAGAUAUCCGACAAUUUACAUACUACGUUAGCUCACAUUAGGUACAUGAUGGCCUCUGCCAAGUUGGUAGUGUUACCACCUUGGAAACCACGAAGUCACCCAAGCGUGCCAGCUCUGAUGUGGCCGUGAAUUUAUGAACUGAGGCCUGACCCAGGUCCCCAGUUAGAAAUGUGUGGUUGGAGUCAGUGGAGGCUGGAAGCUCCUUCGCUGAUCAAACGGGCACCGCUACCUGCAAGCGCAGGUGCAGGCGCGGUCUCGUUAGACCCUCAGCGCUCGGCCGGCCCCACGGCCAGGGUCUCUUAGUUGGGUCCCUAGCUCGCGUGUUCCGGAGCGCCGCGCACCACCCCCGGGGCCUUCAGGUUGUCGGAGGCGGGGACGCGCAUCGGCCGGCGGGAGCGCGCAGAGCCGAGAGGCCUGCGAGCCCGGCUGAGGGAGACAUGCGGCGGACUCGCAGUGCCGUGGCCACCGGCCCGCGGGAGCAGCGGCGCUCGGGGGCCACCGGGGGCUUGAGCGGCGGCGAAAGCCGCGCGCAGCGCUCCCGGAGCAGGACUAGGGCCGGGGCCGGGGGCGGGGGCGGGGCGGUCGGUCCGCAGCCGUCGGCAAAGCCGCGGCCCAAGCCACCGCCGCGGGCCCAGGAGGCGGCCGCCGAGGAGCCACCGCCGGCGGUCACCCCCGCCGCCUCGGUGUCGGCGCUCGACCUGGGGGAGCAGCGGGAGCGCUGGGAGACGUUCCAGAAGCGGCAACGGCUCAGCUUCGAGGGCGCCGCCAAGCUGCUGCUGGACACCUUUGAGUACCAGGGCCUGGUGAAGCACACAGGAGGCUGCCACUGUGGAGCAGUUCGUUUUGAAGUUUGGGCUUCAGCAGACUUACACAUCUUUGACUGCAAGGUCGGGAGGGGGGGCAGCAGAAAUGAGGUCCAGGAGUGCUGAAUGCUGUGUGGUCUCCCCUGCUGGCUCUGUCACCAGUAGGCUUCACUGCCAUGAAGAGCUGAGGCUUCAGGUGGCCUGUCCAGCUGCCUAAGUCCUCUUCCCUGGAUGGUGCUGAGAAGGGUGUCCCACUUGAGCUGUAGCAUUUGCAAGAAGAAGCAGAACAGACACUUCAUUGUUCCAGCUUCUCGGUUCAAACUCCUGAAGGGUGCUGAGAGCAUAACCACAUACACCUUUAACACGCACAAAGCCCAGCACACCUUCUGCAAGAGAUGUGGUGUCCAGAGCUUCUAUACUCCGCGCUCCAACCCCGGGGGCUUUGGAAUCGCCCCCCACUGCCUGGACGAAGGCACUGUGCGGAGUGUGGUCACUGAGGAGUUCAAUGGCAGUGACUGGGAACGAGCCAUGAAGGAGCACAAGACCAUCAAGAACAUGUCAAAGGAGUGAGCAGGGCAGUAGCCCUGUAGGUUGCAUGGGUGUGUGUCGCUGUGCAGGCCUGCCUGGGCUACCAUCUCCACUCCCCAUGUCUCUGAGGUUCACUCCAGCCACCAUUUCUUUAGGCAGCUCUGCCUUAACCCAGGUUUCGUGUAAGAAACUUAACCUUCUCCCUUCCUACCAAUUUUUGUGUGAUCUUUUAGAAAAUAAAUAUUUCUGACAUUAAUGCUA